GAAGGUAUAGCUCAGUGGUAGAGCGCAUACUUAGCACGCACGAAGUCCUGGGUUCAAUUCCCAGUACCGCCG
rnacentral:tRNA from 1 species